rnacentral:misc_RNA from 1 species
UGAGCAAGCCGAGGGAAGCAAG